GCUCACAUGUGCAGCUCGGAGCCCUUUUGUGUUCAACUGGGCACAUGAGAUGACCAAUGUCCAAUCUGGGAAGCGGCCCCUGUGGAGAAAAAUCAAAUUAAUAUAGAAUGGGUUACAUUAGAGUUUGAGAGAGGUCCUGACCCACCCAUCAUGCGAAGCAAUUAUUUCUCUGGACAGCUUCCUGACGUUCCCAGGGAGAGAACGAUGACGGGUAAUUAGGGGGAAGCAUGCCACAGGUCCUCCAUCCCGACAUGGCAGGAGGGUGCUCGCAACACCUCAUUCAUCAACGCGUGUUUUCCUGCCCCAGCCAAGUACACAGAAUCGCUCGGCAAAUGGAGAAAGAGAAAGGGAAACCCAUUCUUCACCUUUUCCAGAAAUGUAUUUUUGUUUUGGUCAAUUUCCCAAAUAAAUUAUGGUCUUGUCUUAC